ACUGUCCGAAGUCGACUGACAACAGCAAACACUUUGUAUUGUCUCUGUUGAUGCUGAGCCAGGCCUGGACCCUUGCCACCCUCACUUCCUUCUUCUUGUUUUGGGGGAUUUCUUUUGCCUCCAGUCUUCUUCAGCACUGAAACUCAUGAUUGAAUUGACGGACUGAACCGUGUCCCAGAUUUAACUGGUCGAAAACAUUCCUCGGCUGGAUUUUUCCUGCUGUCCUGCUGCGUGAUCAAGUGUUUCCGGGGGUCAUCUGCAGCCAAUCAGAUGUCUCACUCCUUUACAGCCAAUCACAUGAGAGCCACCCCACAAGAUCUAGGAUCUAGGAUGAAAAGGAAACAUGGCGUCUGGAAGCAACCACGACAAUUGUAGUGAUUUCUGUGCAGCCAGCGGACAGUUUGGUCGCCUCGUUCCUUCAGAAAUUGGUCAUCGGUCUGGACAGAUCCUUCACCUGGACCAUUCCCCAAACACAGUCCGCCCUUCAGUGUUGCAUGGUAACGAGUAUACAUACAUAUAUGACUUUUUGGAUUUUAAAGCAGCACUUGUUUCAGCCGAGUAUCCACUCCACUGAUAACAUUUUAAUGAAAUGAGUUUAUAUUUCUCUAACUGUACAAUUUAUUUGUGUCUUUAAAUAUUGUAUUUAUACUAAAUUUGAUGGAAGAUAAAGAAAAAAGAGAAUCGUUAAAAUGGUUCUGAGAAACAACAGAGAAAAAUAAAAUCUGGUUUUACGUUAAUGAAAUUAAAAUGUAACAUUCCCUUCCUAAAUGUAUAACGCUAUCAACAUCUAUUUGAAAAAUAAAGAUAACUAUCA